UGGACAGCCCCGCCCCCACCCUGGCAUCUACGCUGACAAUACUCGGCAGAAUGGCACUGCCUGCCACGGUGAUCUGCCAGCCAACCUUGGCGUCUUGGUCGGUCAGGGAGACUCGGUGACAACUAUGAGUCUGCUGUUCCCUGGAGACCUGGACUGUGGCUUUGGGCUUGAAGGCUAAGUGAGCCGGACUACUUCCUCUUCGUGUCCGUAUCACGUUUUCAAACAGAGGCGACUGCGCAGGAUAUGCCAGAGCUGGGCAGGAUAAAACUGUCUCUUCCGGGUUCCUAAAGACCCCCGGCUUCUUGCCCCACACUGUCUGUCAGCUUACAGAGAAGGAGGAAGGCAAAGCCAGAGGUGAGCAGCUUUGGUCCGGCACUGGCUUGACUGAGGCAUCCCAAUGCAUCCGCCUUGGGAUGAGUCACCCACGCAGAGGUUUGCCUUCGUUCUCAGAGCCGUCACGUGACCACAGUCAAGUCCUACAACGUCCUUGUCACUUGUCCAUGAAGGCAGACUCCUGCACCCUUCGGCCGUCACGCCUCCCUCUCUCCCAGGUUUUCAGUCCUAGGCAGCCAUCAAGCUCCCUUCCGCGUUUACGGCUUCACUUGCUCAGGACAUUUCAUGCGAACGGAUUAUAUAAACCAUGCCUCCUUUCACUUA